rnacentral:rRNA from 1 species
GAUGAACGCUGGCGGCGUGCCUAAUACAUGCAAGUCGAGCGAACGGACGAGAAGCUUGCUUCUCUGAUGUUAGCGGCGGACGGGUGAGUAACACGUGGAUAACCUACCUAUAAGACUGGGAUAACUUCGGGAAACCGGAGCUAAUACCGGAUAAUAUUUUGAACCGCAUGGUUCAAAAGUGAAAGACGGUCUUGCUGUCACUUAUAGGUGGAUCCGCGCUGCAUUAGCUAGUUGGUAAGGUAACGGCUUACCAAGGCAACGAUGCAUAGCCGACCUGAGAGGGGGAUCGGCCACACGGGAACUGAGACACGGUCCAGGCUCCUACGGGAGGCAGCAGUAGGGAAUCUGCCGCAAUGGGCGAAAGCCUGACGGAGCAACGCCGAGUGAGUGAUGAAGGUCUUCGGAUCGUAAAACUCUGUUAUUAGGGAAGAACAUAUGUGUAAGUAACUGUGCACAUCUUGACGGAACCUAAGCAGAAAGCCACGGCUAACUACGU